rnacentral:rRNA from 1 species
GACGAACGCUGGCGGCGUGCUUAACACAUGCAAGUCGAGCGGAAAGGCCCUUCGGGGUACUCGAGCGGCGAACGGGUGAGUAACACGUGAGUAACCUGCCCCAGACUUUGGGAUAACCCUCGGAAACGGGGGCUAAUACCGGAUACGACACAGCUUCGCAUGGGGUCUGUGUGGAAAGUUUUUCGGUUUGAGAUGGGCUCGCGGCCUAUCAGCUUGUUGGUGGGGUGAUGGCCUACCAAGGCGACGACGGGUAGCCGGCCUGAGAGGGCGACCGGCCACACUGGGACUGAGACACGGCCCAGACUCCUACGGGAGGCAGCAGUGGGGAAUAUUGCACAAUGGGCGGAAGCCUGAUGCAGCGACGCCGCGUGAGGGAUGACGGCCUUCGGGUUGUAAACCUCUUUCAGCAGGGACGAAGCGUAAGUGACGGUACCUGCAGAAGAAGCGCCGGCCAACUACGUG